rnacentral:rRNA from 1 species
UUUGAUCCUGGCUCAGGAUGAACGCUGGCGGCGUGCUUAACACAUGCAAGUCGAACGAUGAUGCCAGCUUGCUGGUGGAUUAGUGGCGAACGGGUGAGUAACACGUGAGUAACCUGCCCUUGACUCUGGGAUAAGCCUGGGAAACUGGGUCUAAUACCGGAUAUGACCUUCCAUCGCAUGGUGGUUGGUGGAAAGCUUUUGUGGUUUUGGAUGGACUCGCGGCCUAUCAGCUUGUUGGUGGGGUAAUGGCCUACCAAGGCGACGACGGGUAGCCGGCCUGAGAGGGUGACCGGCCACACUGGGACUGAGACACGGCCCAGACUCCUACGGGAGGCAGCAGUGGGGAAUAUUGCACAAUGGGCGCAAGCCUGAUGCAGCGACGCCGCGUGAGGGAUGACGGCCUUCGGGUUGUAAACCUCUUUCAGUAGGGAAGAAGCGUAAGUGACGGUACCUGCAGAAGAAGCGCCGGCUAACUACGUGCCAGCAGCCGCGGUAAUACGUAGGGCGCAAGCGUUAUCCGGAAUUAUUGGGCGUAAAGAGCUCGUANGCGGUUUGUCGCGUCUGCCGUGAAAGUCCGGGGCUCAACUCCGGAUCUGCGGUGGGUACGGGCAGACUAGAGUGAUG